rnacentral:rRNA from 1 species
CCUACGGGUGGCAGCAGUGGGGAAUAUUGCACAAUGGGGGAAACCCUGAUGCAGCGACGCCGCGUGAAGGAAGAAGUAUUUCGGUAUGUAAACUUCUAUCAGCAGGGAAGAAAAGGACGGUACCUGACUAAGAAGCCCCGGCUAACUACGUGCCAGCAGCCGCGGUAAUACGUAGGGGGCAAGCGUGAUCCGGAUUUACUGGGUGUAAAGGGAGCGUAGGCGGUAUAGCAAGUCUGAAGUGAAAGCCCGGGGCUCAACUCCGGGACUGCUUUGGAAACUGUUGAGCUAGAGUGCAGGAGAGGUAAGUGGAAUUCCUGGUGUAGCGGUGAAAUGCGUAGAUAUUAGGAGGAACACCAGUGGCGAAGGCGGCUUACUGGACUGUAAAUGACGCUGAGGCUCGAAAGCGUGGGGAGCAAACAGGAUUAGAUACCCGAGUAGUC